AAAUAAAUUACCAUAGACUUUACACUAAUAAUUUAAUGUCUAUGUAAAUUACACACUCGUUUUAUUUUUUAGAUUAUAAAAAAGCAAUAUUACUAAUACCUACUAUUUAAUUGAACUAUGUUUUCCAAAAUUGAAUGCUAUUCACAAUAAUUGUAUGACAAACAUUGAAUAUUAGAAUAUUUAGUCACGACUUUUUACGACACAACAUUAAUAUCUGUUUCGAUAAAUAUGCAAAAUGUUUAAAUAUCUUAUCUCCUCCGUUGAAUGUUUUAAUACAUUAAUAUUGCGAAUGAAAAUUGCGAUGCAAUGUUCGAUCCUAUAAAAUAAUAUUUUCCGGAUUAAAACAGCUAAAUCAUUGUUCACCGUCCCAUGAUUCCAAUCGACGUCAUAUAUACGUGAACAUCAAUGAGGUAAUUUGUGAAUUUUAUUUACAGCCGUAGGCCACUAACUAUUAAAUAGCUGGCAAUCAACAAAUACGUUCAAAGCAAUGCACGAGUAGAUUAUUGGCAUCUUAAAAUUAGCUUUAGUGCAUCGAGACCUACAACAGUCAAGAUCCAUCCAAUGACAUUUUCUCAGAAGCUUUUAGUGUUUUAUUAUUUAAAGAGCACCAUGACUGCAUAAAGAUUUUGGUUUCAUCUCAUAAAACAUAAAUAUCUUAAGAUAAUAUAGUACAAAAGAAAGACUAUAGUCAUAUUGUGUAAAGAUUAAACAUUCUUCAAAAUGUAUUUCAUUAUUACGAUUUUGGUUUCAUCCAAAACUACGACAUUAAGCGAGAUGUAUUUUUUAUUAUCCGCGUUUGGAUAUUGUAACAUUUUUCAAUGGUUGUUAUGGUGCAAAUGUUUGGAAUUAUAUUAAAAUAAAUAUAUUAACCAAUUAACCAGUAAAUAACCGAUACAUAUUCUAUUCGUCGUGUUACCUCAAUUACCAACGUUUUUGGCAAUAUAAUUAGUAACGUUCAUAGUUUCUUUUCCAUCGUGCAGCAAUAAGCUUGUUGUCCUUGAUCGUUGCUCACUAGGUACAGCAUGUUGUAAUAAUUAUUUAAAUUCUUUAUGCAUAUAGUGCAUUUUAUACUUAUUUAUAUUUUAAAAAUUAAUUGAAUCUUAAGAAUGAGAUGUCAUAUAGUGAACAAUGGUUACUUUAUUUAUUUGAUGCAUUAAAAGCGCUGUUUUUGGCGUUGACAAAAUAAAAUCGAGUGUGAAUCUAAGAUACACGUAACAGUAGACGAUAUUGAAAUAAAAAAAUCAAUAAACGAACACAUUCGUGAUUCUAAAACAGCAAAAAUCGAAAGAAAUGUAGUAGUUAAACGCGUAAAACGGCGUGCAGCUGAAAGCACGGAAUCCACAUCAAGAGUCAUAAAUGAAUGUCUGGCUGUGUUAUAUCAGAAACAGCUACAAUAGGGAGAAAUUCAAUCAAAUUACAUAUUGAAAAACAAAUUCGAAAAAAACUAAAUAAUAUACAAACAGUAUCCGAUACAUCCGAGGAAUACGCAUCUCUAAAAAUACCUGAAAUGUAUACACAUUACACAUAUUCACCAUUUGAAGAGCGCAAAGAAAUUUUUAUUAGCAAAUACUUGAUACGGGCACAUAUAAUUUUAAUUUUAUGAAAAAAAUUGGAAAUUUACGAAAUUUUAAGGCACGGUUAGAACUUUUAAAAUUUCACCUCUUCUUUUUACUAAAUAUUACUUAAAGCUUUUUACUUGCUGAAUAUUUAAAUAGUGUGCAUCCUAUUAUACAUGAAUUACACCCUGAUAAAUUU